GAUGAACGCUGGCGGCGUGCCUAAUACAUGCAAGUCGAGCGAACAGACGAGGAGCUUGCUCCUCUGACGUUAGCGGCGGACGGGUGAGUAACACGUGGAUAACCUCCCUAUAAGACUGGGAUAACUUCGGGAAACCGGAGCUAAUACCGGAUAAUAUAUUGAACCGCAUGGUUCAAUAGUGAAAGACGGUUUUGCUGUCACUUAUAGAUGGAUCCGCGCCGCAUUAGCUAGUUGGUAAGGUAACGGCUUACCAAGGCGACGAUGCGUAGCCGACCUGAGAGGGUGAUCGGCCACACUGGAACUGAGACACGGUCCAGACUCCUACGGGAGGCAGCAGUAGGGAAUCUUCCGCAAUGGGCGAAAGCCUGACGGAGCAACGCCGCGUGAGUGAUGAAGGUCUUCGGAUCGUAAAACUCUGUUAUUAGGGAAGAACAAAUGUGUAAGUAACUAUGCACGUCUCGACGGUACCUAAUCAGAAAGCCACGGCUAACUACGUG
rnacentral:rRNA from 1 species